rnacentral:rRNA from 1 species
UAUUAUACUAGAAAUUAAUAAAUAAAUAAAUUAAAUUAUUAUAAGGUAUAAUCUUUAAAUUUGAAGAAUUUGGCGGUAAUUUAGUCUUUCCAGAGGAACCUGUUUCGUAAUCGAUAAUCCACGAAUAAUCUUACUUAUUUACGUUUAAAGUUACAAGUUUGUAUACCGUCAUUAUUAGAUAAUAUUUCAAGAUAUAUUAUUAAAUUUUACAAAGUAAAAAAAAUUAGAUCAAGGUGCAGCCAAUAAAUAAGUUGAAAUGGGUUACAAUUAAAUAAAUAUAAUAUGAAAUAAAAUUUGAAAAAAUUUUAGGAAAGAGGAUUUGGUUGUAAUGAGUAUUAAUAAGAUAAAAAGAUAGAAGCUCUAAAUUAU